UACGGAGGGUGCGAGCGUUGUCCGGAAUCACUGGGCGUAAAGGGCGCGUAGGCGGCGGGGUAAGCGUGCGGUGAAAGCUCGGGGCUCAACCCCGAGUCGGCCGUGCGAACUGCCCUGCUUGAGCACUGUAGAGGCAGGUGGAAUUCCGGGUGUAGCGGUGGAAUGCGUAGAGAUCCGGAAGAACACCAGUGGCGAAGGCGGCCUGCGUGGGCAGUGGCUGACGCUGAGGCGCGACAGCG
rnacentral:rRNA from 1 species